GAUGGAUAUUCCCAAAGCUUUGCUGAAUCCCACCUCUCUCUCUCUCUCAGAAGCUCCGAGCCUUCAGUCUGAAAAAGGGCAAGAACACAGUGCUGUAAACGGAAAAUCGCAGGCUGACUACAAGCAAGGGACUGCAGGUUGGACAUUCCUGAUCUAUAUUAUUACUACACCUCCAUAAGAUGGGGGGGCCCAACUCCUCCACCCCCAUUGUCUAUAAAUGUGGCCCCAGAAGAUAUUUGUUUCCUAAGUUCCUUUUUUUUAAUAGCAGUCAAAAUAAAUAAAAAUAAAGUAAAAAUAAAAUAAUAAAAACAA